UACGGAGGGUGCAAGCAUUAAUCGGAUUUAUUGGGCGUAAAGGGCGCGUAGGCGGCUAAACAAGUCUUAGGUGAAAUUCCAAAGCUCAACUUUGGAGCGGCCUGGGAAACUAUAUAGCUGGAGGGUAGACGGAGAAAAUGGAAUUCCACAUGUAGCGGUGAAAUGCGUAGAUAUGUGGAAGAACACCAGUGGCGAAAGCGGUUUUCUAGUUUAUACCUGACGCUGAGGCGCGAAAGCAAGGGGAGCAAACAGG
rnacentral:rRNA from 1 species